GGGAUUUCUCCCAAUAAAAUUAUUACUCCAUAUACUAUGGAUCAAAUUGAUGAGUUAGCUAAUGAGUUAAAUACUUGGGCAAUAAUCAUGUGUAAAUCUAAUGUUUCAUUUGAUAAUCACUUACCGUCUAAUCCUUUGUUGUCUUUUUGGUCUAAACAUCCUGUAGUUUUUCCAAAGAUGACAAAAAAAAAAAAAAACCCUAUCAUGAAUGCUCCAAAUAUAUUCACUGAUGGGUCAAAUAAUGGUACAGCAGCAGUAGUUACCCCUGAUCAAACUUUUACAUUUUUAGUACCCAAACAAUCAGCUCAAAAGGUAGAGCUUAAUGCAGUAUUACAAGCUUUUAUGAUGUUUAAAGAUUCUGUAUUUAAUUUAUUUUCUGAUAGUCAGUAUNAGGUUAACAGAUCUGUUUGUUUACUUUCACCUUUCCUUUUCAUUAUAUUUAAUAAUUCUGUUCAGGAUAAUGUAAAUUGUUCUAAAUAUUGUUUUCUUAGUACCUGUUGAAAUGUUACAUAUUUUUUUUUAGCAUCAUUGUCAGAAUUCCUAUUUUCAUCCCAGUGCCGGUGAAGACAAAGAUGAAACCAAACUACAACUUCUUCGAGAGUUAUCACAAGAAACUGUAUAAACUGAUACAUCAAUGAUUAAUAACUCAACAAGUAAUGCUCAAUCAAUGAGUUGAUUUAUUUUGGGAGGAUAUGGACAUAUUGAUAGAUUCCUCCGCUUUGAACUGCUUACAGAACUUGCCUGGACUAUGUAUCACUUGUAUGCAUUGUGAUCUAUCUGUUGAUGCAGCGAAUUAUGGUAGUGCUAGUGUAUCUUUGCUGAUGUGUCACCAGUGAUGCAAUUUUUCCUAGGAGCCGUCAAUUGACUUGGUGUCGUGGCAUUUCUGUAUCCUCCUCCCUUCUACUAGUGAUGGUCUAAUUUUGGGGGCCAACAGAGGUGAGGCAAAGAACCUCACCCCCCCCACCAGCACCAAGGCCAAAUUUGGGGGCCAACAGAGGUGAGGCAAAAAACCUCACCCCCCCACAGGUGCAUAGGCCUAUCCACAAGUAUGGCUAUAUGCUGGACCGGUAAUCAGUGAUGGGUAUGAUCC
rnacentral:lncRNA from 1 species